CUAUGAGAGGCUACUGAUGAAGCCUAGUUACAGUGGAAGACGGCAGUGUUUUGGAGAUGCCAGUACCAUGAGAUGACCACCAAGAACAGCAGCAGCAGUGGAGUACAAGUAACUGGGGCCUAGAAGACAAGGUGUGUGCUAAAAAGGGCAGGGUUGGAGAAGUGACCCAAGCCCUUGGAGGAGCCUAGAAGAUCAUGAAUGGAUCCCAGACAUUGGAUGGUUGGAGUUAGAUUUUGCUUUUGAUUGUGACGGUGCCCUGAAAAUUUUCCAUCUUGGAGUAAGAAGGACACUCUAAGCUCCAUCUGAUGUUUAGUUAUGGGUCUCUGCAUCCAUGUCCAUCUACUGCUGGAUGAGCCUCUCAGAAGACAGACCUACAGCAUUCCCUGUGCUCAGAGGGGACACGGCUGCUUCAAAAAGGCAAAAGAUCCAGUGUAAAUAAUACUGCCACCUCAUGGUCUCAGAUGUUUCAGCCCAUGGUCUUCAGCUCCACUGACUCUGAUGAGGCAGAAGAACAACAUGGCGCCAAUGUUAAAGGCAGAAGCUCCUAACCUCAUACUGGCAGGAAACAAGAGCAAGGGAAAAGGUGACACUUUCCUACAUGUCCCCUUCCACCUCUAUGUCCUCUCCUUUCUAUUGCCCUGCUGGAGAGCAGGUAUCACCCAAUCAGAGACUACGGAAUUCUAGAGCUGUUGUUCACCACAAUUAUUUCCUUAAAAGCCUUCUUCUCCAAACUGACCACUCAGAACGAUUGGUCCUUUGUCACGUACACCAUAAUGACACCAUACUCUGUCACCACAACAUUGAAAACCUCAAAUGAGUCCUAGCUGGACUCCUGUGUGCCUAAAGAAAACAACCCUUUCAUUGGACUUAACUUGAAUUUGUGCCUUUCCCAUCUCUGCCAAAGAGCCUAUUCAUGUUUUAUAAGCAUGAGAUAGUUAAUAUGUGUACCAGGCACUAUCCUGUACCAUAACCCUCACAUGAUGACAAACUUUAAUACCAGUCUAUCAUUUCAGGAGCAAUAAAACUAAUGCAUUGAGUAGUUUGGCCUCAGGAGCCACUAUGACUCACAACUGUAUAGGGAUUAAGCCAGAAUCUUCCAACCUUACAUCAUGUUCUUACAAUAACAGAGAAUCAUCAUGUCAGCCUUAAAUCAGGAAUAGAAGUCAGCUAGUCACUCAUGACAUAUAGAUGUCAAGUCAAUAAGCAUGUUUAUGUGCAGCACCCAACAGGUCUCUAUGUGGAACCGUCUCUUCAGGUGCAAUAAAAAACAAAG